ACGUUGGAUUUUUCAAUAGCAAAUUUUAUAAAGAAGGUGUCAACUCCAAGGGUAAGAAAUAGAGAUGGGCAAUAUAAUUCUUUUCACUGAACGGUUCUGAGUCGUUCAGUUCACUGGAAAGAACUAGCUCUUUAGAAAACAGAUGUUAGCACUUUAAGGUGGCUGCUUGGAGUUUCUAACAAAAGUUGAACAAAUCUCAGAUGCUUAAACUCCAC